rnacentral:rRNA from 1 species
AGAGUUUGAUCCUGGCUCAGAGCGAACGCUGGCGGCGUGCUUAACACAUGCAAGUCGAACGGGUGUAGCAAUACAUCCGUGGCGAACGGGUGCGUAACACGUGGAUAACCUUCCUUCAGGUGGGGAAUAACCCAGUGAAAAUUGGGCUAAUACCGCAUAACAUUUCGGGGGCACAUGCCUCUGAAUUCAAAGGCGCAAGUCGCCAGAAGAGGGAUCCGCGGCCGAUUAGCUAGUUGGCGGGGUAACGGCCCACCAAGGCAAAGAUCGGUAGCUGGACUGAGAGGUUGGCCAGCCACACUGGAACUGAGACACGGUCCAGACUCCUACGGGAGGCAGCAGUGGGGAAUCUUGCACAAUGGGCGAAAGCCUGAUGCAGCAACGCCGCGUGGGGGAUGAAGCUUUUCGGAGUGUAAACCCCUUUCGACCCGGAAGAAAGCCCGCAAGGGUUUGACGGUACGGGUAUAAGAAGCCCCGGCUAACUACGUGCCAGCAGCCGCGGUAAUACGUAGGGGGCCAGCGUUGCUCGGAAUUACUGGGCGUAAAGGGUCUGUAGGCUGUGUGGCAAGUCGAGAGUGAAAUCCCUGGGCUUAACUCAGGGGCUGCUAACGAAACUGCCAUGCUAGAGUGUGAGAGAGGCGAGUGGAAUUACGGGUGUAGCGGUGAAAUGCGUAGAUAUCCGUAGGAACAUCCGAGGCGAAGGCGGCUUGCUGGAUCACAACUGACGCUGAGAGACGAAAGCUAGGGGAGCAAACAGGAUUAGAUACCCUAGUAGUCC